AGUGUUAACACAAUAUUACUGUAGUUGGACUCAUCUGCCAAUUCCCUCCAUUUCCCCUCUUUACUUUCUUCCCUAAAAUUCAAAAAACCCUUCACUCUCCAUUUACCUAACAAAUUCCUUCCCUAAGCAAGAUUGAAAUGGGUCAUCGUAAUCUGAGUAGUUAUCACCAUUUAGAGAAGGAACAACACCAAUCAGUAGAUGGGUUAUUAACCCUUUUCAAGAAAGCUAACCAUGACCUUACCACUGUUCACAACAAGCUCGAAAAGGAAUUUCAACAAGUAUACCCUGAUAAUGCGAACCCCAUGAAGUUAGUUUCGAGGAUAAAGAAAGUUCAGGAUGAAAUGUGUAGCUUGAAGGAACAGUGCCGUGAGUUACUUGCAGCUAAACAGGAUUUAAUUGAUAAAGCUCGGGCAACCGUAGUUGGGAACAGGUUGUUGCUGCAAAAGUUGCUAUUAUCCGCAGGUGUUCCUGUUACCAGUGAUUCUGAUGAUCCAUCAUAUGCUAGUUUCAACCAGGUCAUUGAUGAGUGGACAACUCAAGUCAGAUCAAGAACAGGAUUUUACUCCUGCACUGCCUUGUCAACUUUGGGCUAGCUGUUUCGGUGCCUGGGAGCAUUUUGGGCAUCUAAGCUGAAUUGCUUAAAUUAAGAAAUGGGUGCAAUAUGCGACUUACUAUAACCAUAGACUUAGUAACGAACAAUACAAAUUAGUGACAAUCAAAAGUUAGCUGUUGCUACAUUAUGUCCAGAGGAUGAGAGCCCUGAAUCAGGGGAAGAUAUCAACCAGAUGUUGUUUUCUGCAAUUGUGCAUGACAACUAAGAAGUCAUUCAACCUCUGAAUUGGAAAGAUGCCUGAUGUAAGAUAUCUAGUAUAUGAGCUUGUGGAACAUAGAGUUUGUAUCAUUUUAUAUUCCAAAAUGAAGAUUUUGCAAUGGUUUCUUGGAGAAUUCUUGUAUCAUUUUGUUCUUUUAAGUUUCAUAGUUGUUCUUUCUUGC